GACGAACGCUGGCGGCGUGCCUAAUACAUGCAAGUAGAACGCUGAAGGAGGAGCUUGCUUCUCUGGAUGAGUUGCGAACGGGUGAGUAACGCGUAGGUAACCUGUCUGGUAGCGGGGGAUAACUAUUGGAAACGAUAGCUAAUACCGCAUAAGAGUAGAUGUUGCAUGACAUUUGCUUAAAAGGUGCAAUUGCAUCACUACCAGAUGGACCUGCGUUGUAUUAGCUAGUUGGUGGGGUAACGGCUCACCAAGGCGACGAUACAUAGCCGACCUGAGAGGGUGAUCGGCCACACUGGGACUGCGACCCGGCCCAGACUCCUUCGCGAGGCAGCCGUAGGGAAUCUUCGGCAAUGGACGGAAGUCUGACCGAAAAACGCCGAGUGAGUGAAGAAGGUUUUCGGAUCGUAAAGCUCUGUUGUACGAGAAGAAUGAGUGUGAGAGUGGAAAGUUCACACUGUGACGGUAUCUUACCAGAAAGGGACGGCUAACUACGUG
rnacentral:rRNA from 1 species